CCUACUUUAGGUUAGUAAAACUUUAAACCUUCAAAGUUUGAGAGGUCUUGCGUAGCGAGUCAAGUAGUG
rnacentral:tRNA from 1 species